GUAGUAUUCCCUCCGUCCCAAAAUUCUUGUCUUACAUUUGUUUAGAUACGGAUGUAUCUAACACUAAAAUGUAACUAGAUACAUCCGUAUUUAGAAAAAUUUAAGACAAGAAUUUUGGGACGAAGGGAGUACAAA
rnacentral:pre_miRNA from 1 species